rnacentral:rRNA from 1 species
GACGAACGCUGGCGGCGUGCCUAAUACAUGCAAGUCGAGCGAAGCGGCGGAUGGGUGAGUAACGCGUGGGUAACCUGCCAUUAAGACUUGGAUACAAUUUGGAAACAGAUGCUAAUACCGGAUACUAAAGGAUGGACCUGGGAUGCAUUAGCUAGUUGGUAAGGUAACGGCUGACCAAGGCGAUGAAGCAUAGCCAGGUGGAGGAACUGAUCGGCAACAUUGGAACGGGGACACGGCCAAAACUCCUACGGGAGGCAGCAGUAGGGAAUCUUCCACAAUGGACGAAAGUCUGAUGGAGCAACGCGGCGUGAGUGAAGAGGGUUUUCGGAUCGUAAAGCUCUGUUGUUGGUGAAGCGGUAAUCAACCAGAAAGUCACGGCUAACUACGUGCCAGCAGCCGCGGUAAUUC